AAUCAACGCUGGCGGCGUGCCUAACACAUGCAAGUCGAACGCGGUUGCCCCGCAAGGGGUAACUGAGUGGCGAACGGGUGAGUAACACGUGGGUGACCUACCUUCGAAUGGGGGAUAACGUCCCGAAAGGGACGCUAAUACCGCAUAACAUCCUGCUUUUGAACAGGUGGAGAUCAAAGCCGGGGAUCGCAAGACCUGGCGUUUGAAGAGGGGCUCGCGUCUGAUUAGCUAGUUGGUGAGGUAACGGCCCACCAAGGCAACGAUCAGUAUCCGGCCUGAGAGGGCGGACGGACACACUGGGACUGAGACACGGCCCAGACUCCUACGGGAGGCAGCAGUGGGGAAUUGUUCGCAAUGGGCGCAAGCCUGACGACGCAACGCCGCGUGGAGGAUGAAGGUCUUCGGAUUGUAAACUCCUGUUGCUCGGGACGAAAAGCUUCGACCUAACACGUCGAAGUCUGACGGUACCGGGUGAGGAAGCCCCGGCUAACUCUGUGCCAGCCGCCGCGGUAACAC
rnacentral:rRNA from 1 species